rnacentral:rRNA from 1 species
AAAUUGAAGAGUUUGAUCAUGGCUCAGAUUGAACGCUGGCGGCAGGCCUAACACAUGCAAGUCGAGCGGAAACGAGUUAUCUGAACCUUCGGGGAACGAUAACGGCGUCGAGCGGCGGACGGGUGAGUAAUGCCUAGGAAAUUGCCCUGAUGUGGGGGAUAACCAUUGGAAACGAUGGCUAAUACCGCAUGAUGCCUACGGGCCAAAGAGGGGGACCUUCGGGCCUCUCGCGUCAGGAUAUGCCUAGGUGGGAUUAGCUAGUUGGUGAGGUAAGGGCUCACCAAGGCGACGAUCCCUAGCUGGUCUGAGAGGAUGAUCAGCCACACUGGAACUGAGACACGGUCCAGACUCCUACGGGAGGCAGCAGUGGGGAAUAUUGCACAAUGGGCGCAAGCCUGAUGCAGCCAUGCCGCGUGUAUGAAGAAGGCCUUCGGGUUGUAAAGUACUUUCAGUCGUGAGGAAGGUAGUGUAGUUAAUAGCUGCAUUAUUUGACGUUAGCGACAGAAGAAGCACCGGCUAACUCCGUGCCAGCAGCCGCGGUAAUACGGAGGGUGCGAGCGUUAAUCGGAAUUACUGGGCGUAAAGCGCAUGCAGGUGGUUUGUUAAGUCAGAUGUGAAAGCCCGGGGCUCAACCUCGGAAUAGCAUUUGAAACUGGCAGACUAGAGUACUGUAGAGGGGGGUAGAAUUUCAGGUGUAGCGGUGAAAUGCGUAGAGAUCUGAAGGAAUACCGGUGGCGAAGGCGGCCCCCUGGACAGAUACUGACACUCAGAUGCGAAAGCGUGGGGAGCAAACAGGAUUAGAUACCCUGGUAGUCCACGCCGUAAACGAUGUCUACUUGGAGGUUGUGGCCUUGAGCCGUGGCUUUCGGAGCUAACGCGUUAAGUAGACCGCCUGGGGAGUACGGUCGCAAGAUUAAAACUCAAAUGAAUUGACGGGGGCCCGCACAAGCGGUGGAGCAUGUGGUUUAAUUCGAUGCAACGCGAAGAACCUUACCUACUCUUGACAUCCAGAGAACUUUCCAGAGAUGGAUUGGUGCCUUCGGGAACUCUGAGACAGGUGCUGCAUGGCUGUCGUCAGCUCGUGUUGUGAAAUGUUGGGUUAAGUCCCGCAACGAGCGCAACCCUUAUCCUUGUUUGCCAGCGAGUAAUGUCGGGAACUCCAGGGAGACUGCCGGUGAUAAACCGGAGGAAGGUGGGGACGACGUCAAGUCAUCAUGGCCCUUACGAGUAGGGCUACACACGUGCUACAAUGGCGCAUACAGAGGGCGGCCAACUUGCGAAAGUGAGCGAAUCCCAAAAAGUGCGUCGUAGUCCGGAUUGGAGUCUGCAACUCGACUCCAUGAAGUCGGAAUCGCUAGUAAUCGUGGAUCAGAAUGCCACGGUGAAUACGUUCCCGGGCCUUGUACACACCGCCCGUCACACCAUGGGAGUGGGCUGCAAAAGAAGUAGGUAGUUUAACCUUCGGGGGGACGCUUACCACUUUGUGGUUCAUGACUGGGGUGAAGUCGUAACAAGGUAGCGCUAGGGGAACCUGGCGCUGGAUCACCUCCUUAUACGAUGAU